CCUACGGGGGGCUGCAGUGAGGAAUAUUCCGCAAUGGACGAAAGUCUGACGGAGCGACGCCGCGUGGAUGAUGAAGGCCGAAAGGUUGUAAAGUCCUUUUGCUGGGGAAGAAUAAGUCUGGGAGGGAAUGCCCGGAUGAUGACAUGAACCGGCGAAUAAGCCCCGGCUAACUACGUGCCAGCAGCCGCGGUAACACGUAGGGGGCAAGCGUUGUUCGGAAUUACUGGGCGUAAAGGGCAUGUAGGCGGCUUUGUAAGCUUGGCGUGAAAUUCCACGGCUUAACCGUGGGAAUGCGUUGAGAACUGCGAGGCUUGAGUUAUGGAGAGGGAGCUAGAAUUCCUGGUGUAGGGGUGGAAUCUGUAGAGAUCAGGAAGAAUACCAAUGGCGAAGGCAAGCUCCUGGCCAAUAACUGACGCUGAGGUGCGAAAGUGUGGGGAUCAAACAGGAUUAGAUACCCCUGUAGUC
rnacentral:rRNA from 1 species